rfam:Trichomonas vaginalis G3, whole genome shotgun sequence.
GGUUCCAUAGUGUAAUGGCUAUCACUGGGGACUCUGAAUCCCUAAAUCCAGGUUCGAUUCCUGGUGGAACCA